ACCACCGGAGCUACAAGCGCCACAUUGUUCGGCAACAGCAGUUCUCUCUUUUAAUCUGUUCUUUGGAUUCCAUUCUUCUUCUUCAUUCCAAUGUACCAGAACCCAGCAUCGGAAGCUUAGAUAUCUCCUCUAAUGUCCCUUUACCAACUUCAUUUCCUUUCUCCAAGCGCCUCCUUCAACUUCCCUUGCUCUUCCAAACCUAAAAAAUGGAAUCUGAAACGGAAUUUCCAUAAAAACCCAGUUCAUGGAGUUGUAAUUUCCGCUUCCUCGGCGGAGAAACCCAGUAGAAAGAAGAAGGGAAGACCAUCUAGGGCUUUGAUGAGUGAUGAGGAUCUCUGCAAGCAGCUCCGGGAGGUUAUGUCUGUGGCGGGUCUUCCAGCGGAUCGAGUUCCGCUAAUGAAAGAGCUGUGCGAGCAUGGAAGAAAAGACCUUGCAAAUAUUGUGAGACGGAGAGGAUACAAGGUUGUGAGGCUGCUUCUCAGUACUUCCAAUCUUAGUGAUAACCAUAAUGAUAAUUCUUCUGUUGAAGAUCAGGAACGCAGGGAUCCUCAGGGUGAUGAAGCUUCAGAAUUUGAAGGGACACAUUUAGGCUCAGCUGAAAGCAUUUCUUUAUUAACAAUGUCUCCUGAAGAUUACAAUGCAGAAACAAAUGGGACAAAGAAAAAUAAUAUGCCGGCUCAAAUUGUUUCUGGGACUAAUAGAGAUUUUCAUGUCCUUGAGGAAGAACAGCUACCUAGCAGCGAUCAGGUUAUCAAUCAGGAAAAAAGGAUAGAGACAAUUGAGGAUUUGGCUUCUAACAUGAAUUUUUAUGAAGACAACCGAACAACUAAAAUUGGUGAUCUAAAAGACUUGCUGCACGAAAAAGAGAUGGAGCUUGUGGAGUUAAAGCAACAUAUUGAAAAACAAAAGCAAGCUUUGGCCUUGUUGCAAGCAAGGGCUCGAAAUGAGAUCGGCAAUGUGCAUAGAGUCAUGAUGACUAAAGAUGCCGAACUUAGUGCAUCUAAAGACAAGCUUUCUGGACUAAAGGAGGUUCAACUCCAAUUCCGUGUCAAUGGAGAAAUUGUUGAAGUUGCUGGAAGCUUUAAUGGUUGGCAUAAACAGAUAAAAAUGAAUCUGCAUCCGUCAUCUAAAACUGUUGAUUUACAAGGUUCCAGAGCAUCCAAAUUAUGGUCAACAAUUUUGUGGCUCUAUCCUGGAACUUACGAGAUAAAAUUCAUUGUUGAUGGUCAAUGGAUGAUAGAUCCUCAGCGAGAGGUUGCAACCAAUGGUCACAUAACCAACAACGUCCUUAGGGUAGACAGACGAGACAUCCACUGAUUCCAUCUUCAAGCCAUCUCAGCCUUUUGUUUCGACUUUCGAUUCCGUUCAUCAUGAUUUAUGGCAACCGAUCAGGAUCGAAAGCUUUUGCAGAUUGAAUAUUAUAUGAGGUAGAUUCUAUGAAUACAUUUGAAGAAUGGAACAUUUAUGUGGUCCUACAGCAAUAGUUGAUAGAGGAAUGAUGUGGACACAUGCCGGCAUGCGACCUGGCGGUCAGAUGCGGGCAAAUUCGUUUUUGAGUCAUUCUGGGUGAACCCAAAUCCGACCCGAUAUUUUGAAACGGGUCGGUUUGCUGAACUCGAAGCCGACCCGUUUCACAAACGGGUGGACCCUAAUCCGGAAUUUUUUAGUCGGGGUAGAGUCGAGUUUUCGAGUUGUCAAAUAUUGACACCCCUAAAAUGAAACACAUGCAUAUAACAAAUUUCAUGGAGCAAUGCUUCAGCUUCAUUCAUCUCCCUGAUUAUUGUUAUGGAUGCCUUGGCAUUGAAGAAAAGGGGAUUAAAUUCUGGAUUCUCACUGUAGUAGGGAUGUUCUUCUUUAUGGUUGUGUGGAGUUGUUUUGCAUUGUAAGGUUUGUUUGU